CAAGAAAUAAGCCUAACAUGAAAUAAGAAAGAUCUACUGGGCAUUGAUCUCUCUCGCUUGCUCAGCCCUGUCUUUGCUCAUGCUGUGCCUUUUCCCUUGCAGCGUGUCUCAGCAAGUUCCCCUGGCUCCAACAUCACACACUCAUCUGAGGGUAACUUUUCGUCACUAUUCAGCACUGAGCCCCGGAGUCUCCUCUCAGCUCCUUGUUUGAACUCAGAUGUCACAGAUAGAAUUAGUGUGUCCUUAUGAGCUGCACCCUUCACACGAGUAUCAAAACAGCUUAUUUAUUUUCUUACAUUUGUUUGCAUAAACAACUACAUGUAUUUUUCAAACUCCUUGGUAAAAGCCAUGUGCUAUUCAAAAUUUAAUCUUAUUUAACUAUUUUUAAUUAUAAAAUAGUACAAAAU
rnacentral:lncRNA from 1 species